GACGAACGCUGGCGGCGUGCUUAACACAUGCCAGUCGAGCGGAAAGGCCUGCUUUCCCUUGUGGAUUGCGGGUACUCGAGUGGCGAACGGGUGAGUAACACGUGAGUGAUCUGCCCCCAACUUGGGUAUAAGCCUGGGAAACUGGGUCUAAUUCCCGAUAGGACUGCAGGGUGGUGCCUGUGGUGGAAAACGAUUUUCUAGUGAUUGGGGAUGAGCUCGCGGCCUAUCAGCUUGGUGGUGGGGUAAUGGCCUACCAAGGCGGCGACGGGUAGCCGGCCUGAGAGGGGGGACGGUCACAGUGGGACUGGGACACGGCCCAGACGGCGAGGGGAGGCAGCAGUGGGGAAUAAGGGACCGUGGGCGGAAGCCUGAUGCAGCGACGCCGCGUAGAGGGUGACGGGCUUCGGGUUGUAAACUCCUUUCGACGGCGAGGAAGCCACCUGGUUGGAAGGGUGGUGACGGUAGUGGUAGAAGAAGCACCGGCUAACUACGUG
rnacentral:rRNA from 1 species